GCAGAACUUAUUUAGUUAAACAAAACUCUGUAGGUAACGCAAUCCAUCAUUUUUAUUGGUCUUCUGUGAGAGCAUAGUGCAGAUCUCAGUCCCUUCUCAAACUGCAAUUAGCAUAUUUCUUUCUUUUUAAUUACUCGUCACACUCCAAUGAUUCUGGUUGCAGUUGCACAGGGUGCAUCUCCACCCUGACUCAGGAUGGGACACAGCCCUGAGUGAACUGGCAAGCAAGGUCUAAUCAGCUACAGAUGGGUUGUUAUCUGAGGCAUCACGUCCACCCUCUUUAAGUGAGUCUAGAAGGAAUUGGGCCUAAGAUAUUGAACUAAAGGAAUAAGACAGGAGUAAGAAACUCCUUCUACAACACAGGCACAGAGCUUUUUUCUUUGGGCUCACAUGUCACGAGACCAGAGAGGAGGCACCAGUUUGAAGGCUGAUUAGUUGUGAACCAGGAUAGGAGAUUGCAGGAUUGGGGAAGGCAUUUGAGUCUUAGGGGAUGGCAUGAGUAAAACCCUAGGAGCAUGGACUGCCUAGCUUGUGCAGUUUGGUGUGGUCAGAGGGCUAACUGUCAGGUGGGGUGACUGGAGGGGCCCGCCAAGGCCAAACCAUGACUUCAUGCUUUCUUGAACUGUGGAAAGAUUUUAAGCAGAGGGAAAAUAGGCUUAGACCCACAGCCUGACUCCCAGAGUGCUGGCAGUGGGAGACAAUUUGGGGAGCUCCUGCUGACAAGUAAUUAGAUACUGUGGUUUCUGUUAUUUUUCAGCCUGUUCAUCCUUGAGUAGAAGCAACAGAAGAUAAUACCCAAAUGCUGACUGCCGUUGUGGAAAAAACUCACCCAUAUCCUGCCUGUAGUUAACGGCAGAGGUACUGCAUCCUGCAGUGUUGGAAUGGUCUAAGGAGGCUGCUGAGUUGGAUCUCACUGGCUUACAUGUUCAUCUAAACCUCUUUCCUAUGGAUUCAUGCGUAUGCCUGGUUUUUGUCUAAUGCCAGAUCUGAGGUAGAGUGAAUGUGUGCCCUUCCCCAUUACAAACACUUGGAUUGAUAUCUUCUCUUGGGUUAGAGAAUAGAAUUUCCUUCUGAGGAUAAAGUGGACAGUGUGCAUUAGAUCUAUCCCAUGAAGUUCCUGCUGGUUAUGGUGAAUGGGAACCAACCUCACUAGGGUGAAAGUUAAAAUUCACCACUGAUUGAAUUAGAACAAUUGUUCAUGCUGUUCAAGAGCAGAGAACAGUCUGAUAUCUAAAGAGUUUAGUUAAGCCCCAAGGAGCAAUUUUUCUCUCCUGUUCUAAGUUUUCCUCUUGAGUUUUUCCCCUGUGGGAAUUAUUAUCGUGUUUGCAACAUUGAAAGUUUUGAUUGACAUUUCCUACACUUGCAGGUUUUUAACACAAACUUCAGUUUGAUGACAAUAUAACCAAAUCCCAGGGACAUGAAUAAAAC
rnacentral:lncRNA from 1 species